AAUUUCUUUGCAUUAGAUGUCCCUAUUGCCUUGAAUGUUAUCAUAAGAAAAUAAAAAUAGUUCCCAUCUCUCCACACGUGAGCCUCAGAAAUAGCUCACCUAAUUAACAUCUUCCUGUGCAUCUGCAGGAAACACCACCUGCAGGAGAGGUCUGUACAAGAAAAUACACAUUUUCAUCACUGGAAUUAUUAUUAACUGGAGUACACAAUUUACAGCGCUUGCUCUUUAAAACUCAGUAAUAUGGGAAUAAGAGACUCUUCUUCUUCAUAACCAUUUUAUAUGUUAUCUUUCUGCUGGGGGGAAGGGGGUUAAUGUUAUCUAUGAAAGGUCUAAGAA